CAGAUAAGGAGCUUGCUCCUUUGACGUUAGCGGCGGACGGGUGAGUAACACGUGGGUAACCUACCUAUAAGACUGGAAUAACUCCGGGAAACCGGGGCUAAUGCCGGAUAACAUUUAGAACCGCAUGGUUCUAAAGUGAAAGAUGGUUUUGCUAUCACUUAUAGAUGGACCCGCGCCGUAUUAGCUAGUUGGUAAGGUAACGGCUUACCAAGGCAACGAUACGUAGCCGACCUGAGAGGGUGAUCGGCCACACUGGAACUGAGACACGGUCCAGACUCCUACGGGAGGCAGCAGUAGGGAAUCUUCCGCAAUGGGCGAAAGCCUGACGGAGCAACGCCGCGUGAGUGAUGAAGGUCUUCGGAUCGUAAAACUCUGUUAUUAGGGAAGAACAAAUGUGUAAGUAACUAUGCACGUCUUGACGGUACCUAAUCAGAAAGCCACGGCUAACUACGUGCCAGCAGCCGCGGUAAUACGUAGGUGGCAAGCGUUAUCCGGAAUUAUUGGGCGUAAAGCGCGCGUAGGCGGUUUCUUAAGUCUGAUGUGAAAGCCCACGGCUCAACCGUGGAGGGUCAUUGGAAACUGGGAAACUUGAGUGCAGAAGAGGAAAGUGGAAUUCCAUGUGUAGCGGUGAAAUGCGCAGAGAUAUGGAGGAACACCAGUGGCGAAGGCGACUUUCUGGUCUGUAACUGACGCUGAUGUGCGAAAGCGUGGGGAUCAAACAGGAUUAGAUACCCUGGUAGUCCACGCCGUAAACGAUGAGUGCUAAGUGUUUAGGGGGUUUCCGCCCCUUAGUGCUGCAGCUAACGCAUUAAGCACUCCGCCUGGGGAGUACGACCGCAAGGUUGAAACUCAAAGGAAUUGACGGGGACCCGCACAAGCGGUGGAAGCAUGUGGUUUAAUUCGAAGCAACGCGAAGAACCUUACCAAAUCUUGACAUCCUUUGACAACUCUAGAGAUAGAGCCUUCCCCUUCGGGGGACAAAGUGACAGG
rnacentral:rRNA from 1 species